AUGGCCAUAUCAUGUUGAAACAUUGGUUCUCAUAUGAUCACUGCAGUUAAACAACAUUGAGCCUGUUCAGUACCUAGAUGGAUGACUGCUUGAGAAUACCAGGU